rnacentral:lncRNA from 1 species
CGGACCCCUCCCAACCCAGCAGGACAUGGUGAACUCGCACCGGGGCCUGGCCUUCCUGAAAGCAGCAAAGGAGUUCCACUAGCGUUACAUCACCACUGCCAGCCAGACAUCAACCGCAUAACAUUCGUUCUUGUUCUUCUCCUGUGAGCAUUUCUAUGUCAUCUACUGCAAGUUCUGGGAGCUCGACCUGGACGGCGACCUCGCCAUAGACUGGCACACCAAGGGGGAGGUGGUUGUGGCCUGACGUGUGGAGUGGGCGUGGCCUCCGCCUCAAUGGGCGUGGUCUCCAUCACCCUGACCCCGCCCUGCCCUUGCAGCCAUCUCUUCCUGGAUGAUAGACUGCGUCUUCUCUCUCCGGUGCUGUCACCCAGUGAGCAGCCUGGGAGGUCGGAUCACGCUUUGUGGCCUGAAGCGCUUGAGCCUGGCAGGUCUGUCCGACAUCAUGGAUCUCUAUGGCCUCACUAACGAUGACUGCGAUGACUUGGAGCAGCUGUGACACCCUACUGUGUGCCCGGGAACGGUGCACAUGUGCCUACAAGGGCUUCCUCCCGAG